AUUGAACGCUGGCGGCAGGCCUAAUACAUGCAAGUCGAACGAGUGGCGGACGGGUGAGUAAUGUCUGGGAAACUGCCCGAUGGAGGGGGAUAACUACUGGAAACGGUAGCUAAUACCGCCUACCAUCGGAUGUGCCCAGAUGGGAUUAGAUUGUAGGUGAGGUAACGGCUCACCUAGUGGACUAUCCCUAGCUCGUCUGAGAGGAUGACCAGCCACACUGGAACUGAGCCACGGUCCAGACUCUUACGGGAGGCAGCAGUGGGGAAUAUUGCACAAUGGGCGAAAGCCUGAUGCAGCCAUGCCGCGUGUAUGAAGAAGGCCUUCGGGUUGUAAAAUACUUUCAGCGGGGAGGCGGUACCCGCAGAAGAAGCACCGGCUAACUCCGUGCCAGCAGCCGCGGUAAUUC
rnacentral:rRNA from 1 species